CCAGAUGUGAAGUGAUGAGCACCUGCACUGGAAUGGUGGCAGUGUCUGAGGGGAGAAGAGAAAUUUCCAAGAGAUGUUGCAAAGAUGGGCCCAUAGAUGAUGUGGUUAUCAAGUCUGCAGAUGACAGGAAGUUUCAAGACUUAGCUGGCACAUUGAAUGGUUGUCAAGAUCCACAAAUAUCCCAAAAGGAUUUGCACAAGAGGCCAAUUUUUUAAAGGAAACCCUGUGAGCCAUCCUUCUACUGAGCAGCAACUUCCUUUUAUCUUCUGGAUUCAUUUGCAGUGAGAAGGUCAAAAUUCAUGUGAAAGAAGCCAUUCUUUGCCUCAUUUCUUGCCUAGCCUU